AACGAACGCUGGCGGCAGGCUUAACACAUGCAAGUCGAACGGUUGUAGCAAUACAGCAGUGGCAGACGGGUGAGUAACGCGUGGGAACCUUCCUAGGGGUACGGAACAACUCAGGGAAACUUGAGCUAAUACCGUAUACGUCCGUGAGGAGAAAGAUUUAUCGCCCUUAGACGGGCCCGCGUCGGAUGAGCUAGUUGGUGGGGUAACGGCCUACCAAGGCGACGAUCCGUAGCUGAUCUUAGAGGAUGAUCAGCCACACUGGGACUGAGACACGGCCCAGACUCCUACGGGAGGCAGCAGUGGGGAAUCUUGGACAAUGGGCGCAAGCCUGAUCCAGCCAUGCCGCGUGAGUGAAGAAGGUCUUGGGAUUGUAAAGCUCUUUUGCCAGGGACGAUAAUGACGGUACCUGGAGAAUAAGCCCCGGCAAACUUCGUGCCAGCCGCCGCGGUAA
rnacentral:rRNA from 1 species